UACGUAGGUGGCAAGCGUUGUCCGGAUUUACUGGGCGUAAAGCGCGCGCAGGCGGGCUGGUCAGUCCAGGGUGAAAUCUCACGGCUCAACCGUGAGCGGUCCCCGGAUACUGCCAGUCUUGAGGUGUCUAGAGGAGAGCGGAAUUCCCGGUGUAGUGGUGGAAUGCGUAGAUAUCGGGAAGAACACCAGUGGCGAAAGCGGCUCUCUGGGGACCACCUGACGCUGAGGCGCGAAAGCGUGGGGAGCGAACCGG
rnacentral:rRNA from 1 species